rnacentral:rRNA from 1 species
GCGGCGUGCUUAACACAUGCAAGUCGAACGGAAAGGCCCAGCUUGCUGGGUACUCGAGUGGCGAACGGGUGAGUAACACGUGGGUGAUCUGCCCUGCACUCUGGGAUAAGCCUGGGAAACUGGGUCUAAUACCGGAUAUGACCAACUGUCGCAUGGUGGUUGGUGGAAAGCUUUUGCGGUGUGGGAUGGGCCCGCGGCCUAUCAGCUUGUUGGUGGGGUAAUGGCCUACCAAGGCGACGACGGGUAGCCGACCUGAGAGGGUGAUCGGCCACACUGGGACUGAGACACGGCCCAGACUCCUACGGGAGGCAGCAGUGGGGAAUAUUGCACAAUGGGCGCAAGCCUGAUGCAGCGACGCCGCGUGAGGGAUGACGGCCUUCGGGUUGUAAACCUCUUUCACCAGGGACGAAGCGUGAGUGACGGUACCUGGAGAAGAAGCACCGGCCAACUACGUGCCAGCAGCCGGCGGGUAAUACAAC